rnacentral:rRNA from 1 species
CCUACGGGUGGCAGCAGUGGGGAAUAUUGGACAAUGGGCGAAAGCCUGAUCCAGCCAUGCCGCGUGUGUGAAGAAGGCCUUCGGGUUGUAAAGCACUUUCAGUGGGGAAGAAAGCCUUGGGGCUAAUACCCUCGAGGAAGGACAUCACCCACAGAAGAAGCACCGGCUAACUCCGUGCCAGCAGCCGCGGUAAUACGGAGGGUGCGAGCGUUAAUCGGAAUUACUGGGCGUAAAGCGCGCGUAGGCGGUCUGAUAAGCCGGUUGUGAAAGCCCCGGGCUCAACCUGGGAACGGCAUCCGGAACUGUCAGGCUAGAGUGCAGGAGAGGAAGGUAGAAUUCCCGGUGUAGCGGUGAAAUGCGUAGAGAUCGGGAGGAAUACCAGUGGCGAAGGCGGCCUUCUGGACUGACACUGACGCUGAGGUGCGAAAGCGUGGGUAGCAAACAGGAUUAGAUACCGGGUAGU